GGUGUGGUGGCCUAAUGGUUAGCGCGUUGGACUCCGGAUCGAGCGAUCCGGGUUUAAGCUCUGGCCAGUGUCA